GAGUUUGAUCCUGGCUCAGAUUGAACGCUGGCGGAAUGCUUUACACGUGCAAGUCGAGCGGCAGCGCGGGGCAACCUGGCGGCGAGCGGCGAACGGGUGAGUAACACAUCGGAACGUGCCCAGACGUGGGGGAUAGCCCGGCGAAAGCCGGAUUAAUACCGCAUGUGAUCUGAGGAUGAAAGUGGGGGACCGCAAGGCCUCACGCGUUUGGAGCGGCCGAUGGCAGAUUAGGUAGUUGGUGGGGUAAAGGCUUACCAAGCCUGCGAUCUGUAGCUGGUCUGAGAGGAUGAUCAGCCACACUGGGACUGAGACACGGCCCAGACUCCUACGGGAGGCAGCAGUGGGGAAUUUUGGACAAUGGGCGCAAGCCUGAUCCAGCCAUUCCGCGUGCAGGACGAAGGCCUUCGGGUUGUAAACUGCUUUUGUACGGAACGAAAGGGCUCUCUCUAAUACAGGGGGCAUAUGACGGUACCGUAAGAAUAAGCACCGGCUAACUACGUGCCAGCAGCCGCGGUAAUACGUAGGGUGCAAGCGUUAAUCGGAAUUACUGGGCGUAAAGCGUGCGCAGGCGGUUUUGUAAGACAGAGGUGAAAUCCCCGGGCUCAACCUGGGAACGGCCUUUGUGACUGCAAAGCUGGAGUGCGGCAGAGGGGGAUGGAAGUCCGCGUGUAGCAGUGAAAUGCGUAGAUAUGCGGAGGAACACCGAUGGCGAAGGCAAUCC
rnacentral:rRNA from 1 species